rfam:Danio rerio chromosome 2, GRCz11 reference primary assembly.
UGCCACAGCUAUAUUACCCUGCAGCCCAAGACCGCUUACUGAAGCUAAGCAGGGCUGAGCCUGGUCAGUACCUGGAUGGGAGACCAUAUGGGAAAACUAGGUUGCUGUCGGAA